rnacentral:rRNA from 1 species
GAUGAACGCUAGCUACAGGCUUAACACAUGUAAGUCGAGGGGCAUCACGGGAGUAGCAAUACAACUGGUGGCGACCGGCGCACGGGUGAGUAACGCGUAUGCAACCUACCUAUCAGAGGGGAAUAACCCGGCGAAAGUCGGACUAAUACCGCAUAAAACAGGGGCACCGCAUGGUGAUAUUUGUUAAAGAAAUUCGCUGAUAGAUGGGCAUGCGUUCCAUUAGGUAGUUGGUGAGGUAACGGCUCACCAAGCCGACGAUGGAUAGGGGAACUGAGAGGUUGGUCCCCCACACUGGUACUGAGACACGGACCAGACUCCUACGGGAGGCAGCAGUGAGGAAUAUUGGUCAAUGGGCGGGAGCCUGAACCAGCCAAGUCGCGUGAAGGAAGAAGGAUCUAUGGUUCGUAAACUUCUUUUGCAGGGGAAUAAAGUGCAGGACGUGUCCUGUUUUGUAUGUACCCUGAGAAUAAGGAUCGGCUAACUCCGUGCCAGCAGCCGCGGUAA